GUUUACCCCUUAUACUGUAAAGAUUGUCCUAGUAUGAUGCGUAUGAAAUUUUUUUAAAAAUAUUUUUAAAUUAUUUUAAUCAUAAUUUUAUAUCUAAUUUUGUAUAUAUGAGAUAUGUGCCAUGUUAGUUUUAAAUCUAAAAAAUUAUAUAUAUCAUAUAUAUUUCAUAGAUCUUAGAUCUAAAACAUCAUAUAUGUGACAUAUGACAUUAGGUUUAGAUCUGAAAAUAUUUUGAGAUCAUAAGCCAUUAAUUCAUGCACUUAAACAUAAUCUAAAAAUUAUUUUUAGAAACUAAAUUUUAGGUUAUGCAUGAGGGUAUGGGUAGAAUAAUUAGGUCUAGUGAUUGGACUACAAUUAAGAUCUUUGACUAAAUCAGGUUAUAAUCUUUGUCGAUUUUAAGCAGUUGAUCGAACCUAAUCAAUAGUUGAUUAGAAUUAGAUAAAAGAGGCUCAACAUCGAGUUUAGUUAUAGUUGGUCACAUUGAUUUAUAUUUGAUGUGAAUUGAUUAAUUCAAUACCUAAUUUGGCCCAG
rnacentral:lncRNA from 1 species